rnacentral:sRNA from 1 species
GCUUCCCCAGUGUUACUCACAGACAAGAUGGGUGAGGAAGGCACGGCUCAGAUACAGGCAAGUUUAGACCUGUCCGGAGCCCUCACCUCAUUCAGUAAACAAUGGCCUUAGCCCACUGAUCCCAAAGGCCCUUCCAGAUCUGCGGGAUGCACAUCUUCAGCUGUGUUGCUGCCUAAGAGCACCUGAAGGGUGGCCAGCCUGGACCUACGCUUUGGGAACAAGGAGGACCCUGAAGACUCUGGUCUGGCCACAGCUCCUCCUUCAUUCCUGUGACGUUUGGACCCAACCUUCCCCUGAGCCUUGCAGACUCCUUGAGUGAGUCAGCUCUGGCUCCAGGCUACCUACUGAAGACAAUGGACGUUUACUGUCUACUGUAAAUCAGGCCCCAGGCUCUGCUCGACCCUGUAAUCGACACAGGAAGUAGUGGAAAGGCAGCCUCACACACUGGGGGCUCCAGAUACGCUCUGUCCUCUGUGCUCCAGGCUGCACCCCUAUUUUUCCUCAUUCAUUCAGCCCCCAAGGCCAACACUUAUGACCCCACAGAUGAGGAAAACAAGGGCUAGGAGAGCUCUUGGCCUGGACCCCAGCCCACUUGUGUGCCUAGGUAAACUUCUCUUCCUUCCCUGGUAUUUUUCAGUCAAAUUCUUCCGGCCUCAGGAGUGCCAUGGGCCUAAGAGGCCUUAGAGACCCUCCCAAGCACAGCACCUUUGGGCCCUGGCUUACAAGCCAGGGCCCUGAGCCCUUUACCUUUGUUGUUUGGAAUGAGAGUGGAUGGAGAAGUCUACAGACUGCACUCUGACAAACAGCAACUGCUGCUCAUUUACAGUACCCUCGUCUGCUCCAGCCCUCCACAGAGGCCCUCUACCCUGAGCUGGGAAGUCCAGAAGGCAGGACCAGGAUCGGGGGUGUUCUCCUGGUAGCUUUAUCUCUCUGGAAGCCAGGACAUUCAAGGCCAGAGUUCAAGCCCAGGGAGAAGUUAAGAGACUCAACUACAUGAAAGAGAAAUACACGUUGGAAAAUGCAGGAAUCCAGUCUUUCAUCAGAAGCUGAAGUCAAGGGAAGGCCUAUGGGUUGGAGAAAACAGAGUGGGUUAUAGAGGAAGAGCUUGGAUGGGAGCCCAGAGCUCAGGGCCCUGUCCCUCUGACCCCCUGCAGGACUUUGACUGAGGUUGGGGUCUAUCCCUGUGGGGCUCACUCCACAUGAGGGAAGGGUCCCUCAAGCAUCCUCUUAGUUCUUCAAAGUAGUAGAUAAAGGCCAGUCCUCCUUCGGGCUGUCACAGGGGCCCUAACAACAAGGCAGCCUGUGUUAGAACCCGUGAGGGUUGAGCAGGGGGUGGGCAGUGUGUGUAUACAGUCAGACACUAUACACUACAAUCCCUUAGACUCACCAUCUCAUGUCUUCCCAACCCUCAGCACAACUGGAUGAAUGGCUGCUUUUCGAGAGCAGGUUUUGUUUUUGUUUUGUUUUGUUUUGUUGUUUUUUGUUUGUUUUUUACAAAAAGGAAAAAAAGGAGAAGUUGCAAUAGGAAAGGAAGAGAUUACAGAAAGAAGAAAACCAGCUAACGGAGAUGGAUUCACAAUAAGGGACUGAUGGUCCGUUCCCUGGCGGCAAAGGAGUUGGCGAUAAUGGAGCCAGGAGAGCUACUGUGUGCCCUCAAUAUUGUCUCAGGCCGUCACGGGAGGGGUGGGGAGGAAAGGAGGCCGAGCCCAGGAGAGCAGGUAAGUGGACAGAUGGGAAGAUAGAAGGAACUAGAUUUGAACCUCCAACAGGCAGACCCUUUCCAGUCUAUGUGACCUGGGACACUGCUGCCUCCUGGCCUCUAACCCCCUCCCUAGCACCCUAGUCAGUCCUUCCAGGGAGACUUGGAAAGAACAGAGGACGCAAGCCACAGACUCAACCCUGCUCGCUCCACCCCAACCCCUGCAGGACUUUUGCUCAGGCUCCUGUUACCUGAAAGAUUCUGCAUUCCUCUUUUUUAUUUUUUUUCUUGAGCUCGCCUGUUUGUUUUGCCUCCUUUGGCAGUCAGCUCACACCACCCCUGACAGGCAGCAGCGUUCCCCAAGCAGAACAAACAGGUCCAACACCCUUGCUCUAGUAACAUGAUUUCUAAGCUCCAUCAUUGUGCCUGGCCCUGUGGCCAAGGCUGGCAGGAACAACGGGGCUUAGCCAAAGAUCGCCCAUAAGCACACCUGUGGCUCAACAAAGGUGUGUGUAGCGGGGUGGGGGUGGCUGUCAUACAAAAAAGCACGAGUGUGGUAGGAGACAGUGUGGUGUCUCCAUGCUACCCCACCAGCAUCCUGCAAGGACAAGAGUUAAGGAAGCAGAGGCUGCUCCACAUGGGAGGGCGGUCAUGAGUCUUAUCCAGGAGGCAGCAUCUAUCCAGGUCAGGGUUUUGAUCUGGAAGGAAGCUGUGGACCCGGAUACCAACCAGGAUUGGGAUUGGGUGGCGCUCUCUACAGAGGACAUUCUUGCUUGUUGUCUUCGUUCAGACACGAUUACUGAGCCAUCUUGUCUGUGUCUUGCUUGUGGCCUGACAGUUCUGUUCUAGCACACUCUUUUCAGGAGAUCCUACAGCUGGCUGAAAGGACCUGGCCAGUCCCUGUUGUCUGUAGCUGUCUGUGUCCUCCAGAACAGGGGUUAAAGCCUGACACACAGCAGACUGGCCACUGUGACCUUACCUGCCCAAGAGGUUGCAGCGUGCAGGGUAAAAGUGCAGGCUCUGGGAAGGAUUAACCUUAUCUCCAGCUCCUUCCACCCUGGACGUGCGUUGGCCUGGAGGUUCACAAGCUGUUCAAAAUCUUAAGGCCUCAAGAGACAGGAAGAGAAAGGACUCAGAGCACAGCAGAAGCCAGAAGCCAGAAGCCCAACCCAGGCAGGCGGGCUAGCAGGACUGCUAUUUAUCCUGAGGACAGCCCUGACCUUUCCCCAACAGGGACAGAUGCGGGGAGCCUGGCUACAUCCUUCCCUUUAAAACAAGAAAUGGAAGCAUUACUCACAAAGCCCAGCCAUUUAUCAUGGUCUGGGGACAUUAAUUUGACAGUGUGUCAUUUUCCAUUUGGUUCGGGCCCGGUGGAGGUUGCCCUCGAAACACCUUCAAUUAAAUGCAGCUAAUAGCACAGAGCUAUUUUGAGCAAGGAGGGCCUCUGCCUCCCCCCAGGGCUGUGGCAUGUGUGUGCUGGGGGAAGGGGGUACUGCUGGGAAGUGUGGUUCAGGGUGAUCCAGGGUCGGAUGGCUCUCGGGCUCCAUAUGCAGACAGAGUGCACACAGGGCGGACAGGGUGAAGAAGUACCCCCUUUGUCUUUUGGAUGUCCCCACAAGCAGUUGGGCCGCACUGUGACCCUAGACAUAGGAAGGGGGUGAACCAGUCCUUUGCCCAGCAUGGAGAAAGUAUGGCAUUUAGAGUGUUGAAUGCUGGCAAGCCGAUCUAGCUGCUCUGUCUCCUAAGGUGUGACCUUAGAUAGGGCCCAUAACUGCUUUGAGCCUCAGUUUCUUUUGUCAACUGGAGACAACUUCUUGCACAGAACAGUUGGAUGGUUUCUAUGGCCUUGUAAACACAUGCCAAACAACACACACCAGAGAUGCGUUCAUUUACAGGGGAUGACUCAAUAGCUUUGCUUACAUCCUGAAUUUUACAAAUGAGGGAAAGGCCAGUACAUCCCGCACACCUGGGUCUCCUCCUUCAUUGGAACUCAGGAAGGACAGAGUGGUUCAGGGUGAGCCUUGAGCUCUAGAGGGUAGAACCUAGAUUGCAGUCCCAGCUUGACCACCUCUGUGGUCUGGGGCAAUCCACUUAACGUCUCUGUACCUCAGUGCCCUGGCCUGGGAGAUGGAGAUCAGCCUGCCAACACUCCCUGGCCACAGUGAUUGGAUGAGAGACUAUGAAUGAAUGCCAGCAGCAAGUCGACCUGUUCAUCAUGGCUGCUGUUCUUUUCCUCACCUUAGCCCUGGGCCUAGAGGACAUUGCUGAUGUCACCAAUUACCUCAUUUCAGCCACGGACUCGGCGUUAAGUAUGGAGGACUGUUCUAUCCUCGUGGUGUUAGAAGGCAGGUGGUGUUAGAACCUGGGUCCCUCUGAGAUCUGUUGUUUCUACUUUCAAAAAUGACUGUAGGGCUGGAGAGAUGGCUCAGCGGUUAAGAGCACCCGACUGCUCUUCCAGAGGUCAUGAGUUCAAU